AGCGUACACGGUGGAUGCCCUGGCAGUCAGAGGCGAUGAAGGACGUGCUAAUCUGCGAUAAGCGUCGGUAAGGUGAUAUGAACCGUUAUAACCGGCGAUUUCCGAAUGGGGAAACCCAGUGUGAUUUGUCACACUAUUAUUAACUGAAUCCAUAGGUUAAUGAGGCGAACCGGGGGAACUGAAACAUCUAAGUACCCCGAGGAAAAGAAAUCAACCGAGAUUCCCCCAGUAGCGGCGAGCGAACGGGGAGGAGCCCAGAGCCUGAAUCAGUGUGUGUGUUAGUGGAAGCGUCUGGAAAGGCGCGCGAUACAGGGUGACAGCCCCGUACACAAAAAUGCACAUACUGUGAGCUCGAUGAGUAGGGCGGGACACGUGGUAUCCUGUCUGAAUAUGGGGGGACCAUCCUCCAAGGCUAAAUACUCCUGACUGACCGAUAGUGAACCAGUACCGUGAGGGAAAGGCGAAAAGAACCCCGGCGAGGGGAGUGAAAAAGAACCUGAAACCGUGUACGUACAAGCAGUGGGAGCCUCUUUUAUGGGGUGACUGCGUACCUUUUGUAUAAUGGGUCAGCGACUUAUAUUCUGUAGCAAGGUUAACCGAAUAGGGGAGCCGAAGGGAAACCGAGUCUUAACUGGGCGUUAAGUUGCAGGGUAUAGACCCGAAACCCGGUGAUCUAGCCAUGGGCAGGUUGAAGGUUGGGUAACACUAACUGGAGGACCGAACCGACUAAUGUUGAAAAAUUAGCGGAUGACUUGUGGCUGGGGGUGAAAGGCCAAUCAAACCGGGAGAUAGCUGGUUCUCCCCGAAAGCUAUUUAGGUAGCGCCUCGUGAAUUCAUCUCCGGGGGUAGAGCACUGUUUCGGCAAGGGGGUCAUCCCGACUUACCAACCCGAUGCAAACUGCGAAUACCGGAGAAUGUUAUCACGGGAGACACACGGCGGGUGCUAACGUCCGUCGUGAAGAGGGAAACAACCCAGACCGCCAGCUAAGGUCCCAAAGUCAUGGUUAAGUGGGAAACGAUGUGGGAAGGCCCAGACAGCCAGGAUGUUGGCUUAGAAGCAGCCAUCAUUUAAAGAAAGCGUAAUAGCUCACUGGUCGAGUCGGCCUGCGCGGAAGAUGUAACGGGGCUAAACCAUGCACCGAAGCUGCGGCAGCGACACUGUGUGUUGUUGGGUAGGGGAGCGUUCUGUAAGCCUGCGAAGGUGUGCUGUGAGGUAUGCUGGAGGUAUCAGAAGUGCGAAUGCUGACAUAAGUAACGAUAAAGCGGGUGAAAAGCCCGCUCGCCGGAAGACCAAGGGUUCCUGUCCAACGUUAAUCGGGGCAGGGUGAGUCGACCCCUAAGGCGAGGCCGAAAGGCGUAGUCGAUGGGAAACAGGUUAAUAUUCCUGUACUUGGUGUUACUGCGAAGGGGGGACGGAGAAGGCUAUGUUGGCCGGGCGACGGUUGUCCCGGUUUAAGCGUGUAGGCUGGUUUUCCAGGCAAAUCCGGAAAAUCAAGGCUGAGGCGUGAUGACGAGGCACUACGGUGCUGAAGCAACAAAUGCCCUGCUUCCAGGAAAAGCCUCUAAGCAUCAGGUAACAUCAAAUCGUACCCCAAACCGACACAGGUGGUCAGGUAGAGAAUACCAAGGCGCUUGAGAGAACUCGGGUGAAGGAACUAGGCAAAAUGGUGCCGUAACUUCGGGAGAAGGCACGCUGAUACGUAGGUGAAGUCCCUCGCGGAUGGAGCUGAAAUCAGUCGAAGAUACCAGCUGGCUGCAACUGUUUAUUAAAAACACAGCACUGUGCAAACACGAAAGUGGACGUAUACGGUGUGACGCCUGCCCGGUGCCGGAAGGUUAAUUGAUGGGGUCAGCGCAAGCGAAGCUCUUGAUCGAAGCCCCGGUAAACGGCGGCCGUAACUAUAACGGUCCUAAGGUAGCGAAAUUCCUUGUCGGGUAAGUUCCGACCUGCACGAAUGGCGUAAUGAUGGCCAGGCUGUCUCCACCCGAGACUCAGUGAAAUUGAACUCGCUGUGAAGAUGCAGUGUACCCGCGGCAAGACGGAAAGACCCCGUGAACCUUUACUAUAGCUUGACACUGAACAUUGAGCCUUGAUGUGUAGGAUAGGUGGGAGGCUUUGAAGUGUGGACGCCAGUCUGCAUGGAGCCGACCUUGAAAUACCACCCUUUAAUGUUUGAUGUUCUAACGUGGACCCGUGAUCCGGGUUGCGGACAGUGUCUGGUGGGUAGUUUGACUGGGGCGGUCUCCUCCUAAAGAGUAACGGAGGAGCACGAAGGUUGGCUAAUCCUGGUCGGACAUCAGGAGGUUAGUGCAAUGGCAUAAGCCAGCUUGACUGCGAGCGUGACGGCGCGAGCAGGUGCGAAAGCAGGUCAUAGUGAUCCGGUGGUUCUGAAUGGAAGGGCCAUCGCUCAACGGAUAAAAGGUACUCCGGGGAUAACAGGCUGAUACCGCCCAAGAGUUCAUAUCGACGGCGGUGUUUGGCACCUCGAUGUCGGCUCAUCACAUCCUGGGGCUGAAGUAGGUCCCAAGGGUAUGGCUGUUCGCCAUUUAAAGUGGUACGCGAGCUGGGUUUAGAACGUCGUGAGACAGUUCGGUCCCUAUCUGCCGUGGGCGCUGGAGAACUGAGGGGGGCUGCUCCUAGUACGAGAGGACCGGAGUGGACGCAUCACUGGUGUUCGGGUUGUCAUGCCAAUGGCACUGCCCGGUAGCUAAAUGCGGAAGAGAUAAGUGCUGAAAGCAUCUAAGCACGAAACUUGCCCCGAGAUGAGUUCUCCCUGACUCCUUGA
rnacentral:rRNA from 1 species